AAAUUGAAGAGUUUGAUCAUGGCUCAGAUUGAACGCUGGCGGCAGGCCUAACACAUGCAAGUCGAACGGUAACAGGAAACAGCUUGCUGUUUCGCUGACGAGUGGCGGACGGGUGAGUAAUGUCUGGGAAACUGCCCGAUGGAGGGGGAUAACUACUGGAAACGGUAGCUAAUACCGCAUAACGUCGCAAGACCAAAGAGGGGGACCUUCGGGCCUCUUGCCAUCGGAUGUGCCCAGAUGGGAUUAGCUAGUAGGUGGGGUAACGGCUCACCUAGGCGACGAUC
rnacentral:rRNA from 1 species